UACGGAGGGGGCUAGCGUUGUUCGGAAUUACUGGGCGUAAAGCGCGCGUAGGCGGCUUUGUAAGUUAGAGGUGAAAGCCCGGAGCUCAACUCCGGAAUUGCCUUUAAGACUGCAUCGCUAGAAUCAUGGAGAGGUGAGUGGAAUUCCGAGUGUAGAGGUGAAAUUCGUAGAUAUUCGGAAGAACACCAGUGGCGAAGGCGGGUUGCUGGGCUGAUACUGACGCUGAGGCGCGAAAGCCAGGGGAGCGAACGGG
rnacentral:rRNA from 1 species